UACGUAGGGGGCAAGCGUUAUCCGGAUUUACUGGGUGUAAAGGGAGCGUAGACGGCACUGCAAGUCUGGAGUGAAAGCCCGAGGCCCAACCACGGGACUGCUCUGGAAACUGCGGGGCUGGAGUGCAGGAGGGGUAAGCGGAAUUCCUAGUGUAGCGGUGAAAUGCGUAGAUAUCGAGAGGAACACUCGUGGCGAAGGCGGGUUCCUGGACAUUAACUGACGCUGAGGCACGAAGGCCAGGGGAGCGAAAGGG
rnacentral:rRNA from 1 species